rnacentral:lncRNA from 1 species
AUAGUGGAGUUUGAUUACCAGGCCCAGCAUGAUGAUGAGCUGACGAUCAGCGUGGGUGAGGUCAUCACCAACAUCAGGAAGGAGGAUGGAGGCUGGUGGGAGGGACAGAUCAACGGCAGGAGAGGAAAUAAAGAAGGAUGUGAAGAAAGACCUUCUCUCUAACAAAGCUCCUGAGAAGCCCAUGCAUGAUGUGUCCAGUGGAAACUCUUUGCUUUCUUCUGAAACCAUUUUAAGAACCAAUAAACGAGUUUAUCAUGAAUUCAGUGUUUGGAGAGCGACGGAGACGCCGAUGCCAGGUGGCGUUCAGCUACCUGCCUCAGAAUGACGAUGAGCUUGAGCUGAAAGUCGGGGACAUCAUAGAGGUUGUAGGAGAG